rnacentral:rRNA from 1 species
GAGUUUGAUUCUGGCUCAGGACGAACGCUGGCGGCGUGCCUAACACAUGCAAGUCGAGCGGAGACAUAAGCGGAAGUUUUCGGAUGGAAGGUUAUGUUUUAGCGGCGGACGGGUGAGUAACGCGUGAGGAACCUGUCCUUCACAGCGGGAUAAGACGGCGAAAGCUGUUCUAAUACCGCAUGAGACCACGGUACCGCAUGGUACAGGGGUUAAAGGAGCAAUCCGGUGAAGGGUGGUCUCGCGUCCGAUUAGAUAGUUGGCGGGGUAACGGCCCACCAAGUCGACGAUCGGUAGCCGACCUGAGAGGGUGAUCGGCCACAUUGGGACUGAGACACGGCCCAGACUCCUACGGGAGGCAGCAGUGGGGAAUAUUGGGCAAUGGGGGGAACCCUGACCCAGCAACGCCGCGUGGAGGAAGAAGGUUUUCGGAUUGUAAACUCCUGUCCUUGGUGAAGAGGAAGAGACGUAGCCAAGAGGAGCCCC